rnacentral:rRNA from 1 species
GGUCAAGCUACAAAGGGCGCAUGGUGAAUGCCUUGGCAUCAGGAGCCGAUGAAGGACGUGAUAAGCUGCGAUAAGCUUCGGGUAGGCGCACAUAGCCAGAGAUCCGGAGAUUUCCGAAUGAGGGAACUCACAUGGGAAACCCCAUGUAUCAUAAAGUGAAUACAUAGCUUUAUGAAGGUAAACCUAGGGAACUGAAACAUCUAAGUACCUAGAGGAAGAGAAAGAAAAAUCGAUUUUCUUAGUAGCGGCGAGCGAAAAGGAAAGAGCCCAAACCAGAGAUUUAUCUCUGGGGUUGCGGACAGAACA